AGCCAGUGUGACUUGGUGGUUAGAGUGCUGGACCGGGACCCAGGAGACUAGGGUUCAAAUUCCUGCUUGGCCA